UGGGGAAUUUUGCGCAAUGGGCGAAAGCCUGACGCAGCGACGCCGCGUGUGCGAUGAAGGCCCUCGGGUCGUAAAGCACUGUCAAGUGGGACGAAAACCUAUUUGUUAAUACCAAGUAGGCUUGACGGUACCGCUAAAGGAAGCACCGGCUAACUCUGUGCCAGCAGCCGCGGUAAUACAGAGGGUGCAAACGUUGCUCGGAAUUACUGGGCGUAAAGCGCGUGUAGGCGGUUUAGAAAGUCGGCUGUGAAAGCCCUCAGCUCAACUGAGGAAGUGCAGCCGAAACUGCUAGACUAGAAUAUCGAAGAGGAAGGCGGAAUGCGCAGUGUAGAGGUGAAAUUCGUAGAUAUUGCGUAGAACAUCGGUGGCGAAGGCGGCCUUCUGGGAGAUUAUUGACGCUGAGACGCGAAAGCGUGGGGAGCGAACAGG
rnacentral:rRNA from 1 species